rnacentral:rRNA from 1 species
UACAGAGGUGGCAAGCGUUGUUCGGAAUUACUGGGCGUAAAGGGCGCGUAGGCGGCCUCUUUAGUCAGACGUGAAAUCCCCGGGCUCAACCCGGGAACUGCGUCCGAUACUGGCAGGCUUGAAUUCGGGAGAGGGAUGUGGAAUUCCAGGUGUAGCGGUGAAAUGCGUAGAUAUCUGGAGGAACACCGGUGGCGAAGGCGGCAUCCUGGACCGAUAUUGACGCUGAUGCGCGAAAGCCAGGGGAGCAAACGGG